rnacentral:rRNA from 1 species
CGGGUGAGUAAUGCGUGACCAACCUGCCCCAUGCUCCAGAAUAGCUCUUGGAAACGGGUGGUAAUGCUGUAUGCUCCAACUUGACGCAUGUCUUGUUGGGAAAGUGUUUAGUGGCAUGGGAUGGGGUCGCGUCCUAUCAGCUUGUAGGCGGGGUAAUGGCCCACCUAGGCUUCGACGGGUAGCCGGCCUGAGAGGGCGGACGGCCACAUUGGGACUGAGAUACGGCCCAGACUCCUACGGGAGGCAGCAGUG